AGUGAACGCUGGCGGUAGGCCUGACACAUGCAAGUCGAACGGCAGCACAGGAGAGCUUGCUCUCUGGGUGGCGAGUGGCGGACGGGUGAGGAAUACAUCGGAAUCUACUUUUUCGUGGGGGAUAACGUAGGGAAACUUACGCUAAUACCGCAUACGACCUACGGGUGAAAGCAGGGGACCUUCGGGCCUUGCGCGAUUGAAUGAGCCGAUGUCGGAUUAGCUAGUUGGCGGGGUAAAGGCCCACCAAGGCGACGAUCCGUAGCUGGUCUGAGAGGAUGAUCAGCCACGCUGGAACUGAGACACGGUCCAGACUCCUACGGGAGGCAGCAGUGGGGAAUAUUGGACAAUGGGCGCAAGCCUGAUCCAGCCAUACCGCGUGGGUGAAGAAGGCCUUCGGGUUGUAAAGCCCUUUUGUUGGGAAAGAAAUCCAGCCGGCUAAUACCUGGUUGGGAUGACGGUACCCAAAGAAUAAGCACCGGCUAACUUCGUGCCAGCCGCCGGGGUAA
rnacentral:rRNA from 1 species